UGGCAAGUUUCAGCCCGGGAGUUAAAAUUUCGGCUCAAACUGGAUGAAAUCUCAGCACAUGUCUAUUAUUUGACUAUUUGUUUGACAGACACUGAAACGAUUAUCAUUAUAUGACGAUUUUCAAGUUUUCAACCCAGUCAUUGAGAACCGAACACGCGAUAUUAGAUCUUGUUGAAUGAACACUUGAUUGACGUGUUGUGUACUAUUGUAUUGACUGAUUGAUUCCGUACGACUCUGUAAUAGUAACCAGACUAACCAUUCACUUGACUACAAAACAACAUAUUUAGCGCUGCCCAGAAUCUUCUUGCUACGAACCAAGAAAGGUAGGAAUGAUCGAGUAUUUGUUUUCCUAUAUAUGUUUGUAUAGUCUCUAGAUAAUCUAUAUCUAUCAGCAUCAUAUACAUAAAC